rnacentral:rRNA from 1 species
GAUGAACGCUGACAGAAUGCUUAACACAUGCAAGUCUUUGGCGAAGCUGUGCUUGCACAGCCUAGCCAAGGCGGACGGGUGAGUAACGCGUAAGGAACUUGCCCUGCAGUCAGGGAUAACAGACGGAAACGACUGAUAAGACCUGGUAAAGUCAGGCGGACUCAUGUCCAGCCUGAUGAAAAGAGAUGCUGCAGGAGAGCCUUGCGUCCUAUUAGCUUGUUGGUGGGGUAACGGCCCACCAAGGCGAUGAUAGGUAGCCGGCCUGAGAGGGUGGACGGCCACAAGGGGAAUGAGAUACGGCCCUUACUCCUACGGGAAGCAGCAGGGGGGAAUAUUGGACAAUGGGGGCAACCCUGAUCCAGCAAUUCUGUGUGCACGAUGAAGGUUUUCGGAUUGUAAAGUGCUUUCAGCAGGGAAGAAAAAAUGACGGUACCUGCAGAAGAAGCGACGGCUAAAUACGUG